rnacentral:rRNA from 1 species
AAUCAACGCUGGCGGCGUGCCUCAGACAUGCAAGUCGAACGAUUAAAGCUCUCUUCGGAGAGUGUAUAGAGUGGCGCACGGGUGAGUAACACGUAAGUAAUCUACCCUCGAGGUGGGGAAUAACGUCCGGAAACGGACGCUAAUACCGCAUAAUGCAGCGGCACCGCAAGGUGACAGUUAGUUAAAGGAGAAAUUCGCUUGGAGGAGGAGCUUGCGGCAGAUUAGCUUGUUGGUAAGGUAACGGCUUACCAAGGCUACGAUCUGUAACCGGUCUUAGA